GGUUGCGUGGCCGAGUGGUCUAAGGCGCAGGAUUAAGAUUUACUAACAUUCCUGUCCGAAGGGGCGCAGGUUCGAACCCUGCCGCAGCCA
rnacentral:tRNA from 1 species